CACACUAUCAUUAACUGAAUCCAUAGGUUAAUGAGGCGAACCGGGGGAACUGAAACAUCUAAGUACCCCGAGGAAAAGAAAUCAACCGAGAUUCCCCCAGUAGCGGCGAGCGAACGGGGAGCAGCCCAGAGCCUGAAUCAGUGUGUGUGUUAGUGGAAGCGUCUGGAAAGGCGCGCGAUACAGGGUGACAGCCCCGUACACAAAAAUGCACAUGCUGUGAGCUCGAUGAGUAGGGCGGGACACGUGGUAUCCUGUCUGAAUAUGGGGGGACCAUCCUCCAAGGCUAAAUACUCCUGACUGACCGAUAGUGAACCAGUACCGUGAGGGAAAGGCGAAAAGAACCCCGGCGAGGGGAGUGAAAAAGAACCUGAAACCGUGUACGUACAAGCAGUGGGAGCACGCUUCGGCGUGUGACUGCGUACCUUUUGUAUAAUGGGUCAGCGACUUAUAUUCUGUAGCAAGGUUAACCGAAUAGGGGAGCCGAAGGGAAACCGAGUCUUAACUGGGCGUUAAGUUGCAGGG
rnacentral:rRNA from 1 species